AAUUAAGCCGGCAACAUGAGUUUUCAUAAAAGUGAUUCACGUACGCCUUUGGCACCCACAGAAUAUACCAAAAUACCGACAGUUACGACGGGCUAUGAUAACGAGAAGCAUAACGGCUCAGGAAUAAUAACGCGUCUGUAAAUCAAACAAAAUUCAUACGUUCGGAUAUGGCGGAUGUACGGCUCAAC